UUGUCAACACGUGAGGGGAGAGUGACUCCGAAAACGGAGUACAGUUAAUCCGUUUUGGUUCUUUCCGUUCAACGCCAAUCACAAACCCUAAUCCAAAAAUCCCAAAAUUCCUUUGGGAGAAAUGUCCCAAAACCAUCACCAAAAUCCCCAAUUCUUUCUGAAUUACUGGGGAAACAUCUCCGAGGAAGAUCAUUACGCUUCUCAACGAAUCAAAUCCUCCAAAUCCUUCUACACUUCCCCUCGCGGCCUCAAGCUCUUCACUCGUUCAUGGCUUCCUCUGCCUCCCGUCCUUCCCCGAGCCCUCAUCUUCAUGGUCCAUGGCUACGGCAACAACAUCAGCUGGACCUUCCAAGCCACUGCCAUCUUCCUCGCCCAGAUGGGUUUCGCCUGCUUCGCUCUCGACCUUGAAGGCCAUGGCGGAUCCGAAGGUCUCAAAGCCUUCGUCCCUAAUGUCGACUCUGUCGUCCACGACUGUCUCUCCUUCUUCCGAUUCGUCAAAUUGAACCCCCAAUUUCAGGGUCUGCCCGCCUUCCUCUUCGGUGAGUCAAUGGGCGGCGCGAUUUGCUUAUUGAUCCAUUUCGCGGACCCCGAAGGGUUCGAUGGCGCUAUUCUCGUCGCACCCAUGUGCAAAAUCUCUGAUAAAGUGAAACCCAUUUGGCCGAUUCCUCAAUUUCUUACGGCAGUUGCGAGGUUUUUGCCGAGUUUGGCGAUUGUGCCGACGGCGGAUCUGUUGGAGAAGUCGGUGAAGGUGGAGGAGAAGAAGAUUGUGGCGGAGAUGAAUCCGAUGAGGUAUAGAGGGAAACCCAGAUUGGGGACUGUGGUGGAGCUUUUGAGAGUUACAGAGGAUUUGAGCGGGAGGCUGGGCGAUGUGAGGCUGCCGUUCAUCGUCGUCCAUGGAGAUGCGGAUGUUGUUACGGAUCCGAAUGUGAGCAAAUCUCUGUAUGAGGAAGCGCAGAGCGAGGACAAGACGAUGAAGAUUUAUGAGGGAAUGAUGCAUUCUAUGCUGUUUGGGGAGACGGAUGAGAAUGUGGAGAUUGUUCGAAAUGAUAUUGUUUCUUGGUUGAAUGCGCGAUGUAGGAGUAGGAUAAGUGUUAGAUGAAUAUAUUCAAAUUGUUUCGUUGAUUUUAAGGAAACUUCUUGUUCUGGGAAUUUGAUUGUUACAUUGUUUUUAAAAUG